UACGAAGGAUCCUAGCGUUGUCCGGAAUUAUUGGGCGUAAAGAGCUCGUAGGCGGCUUGUCACGUCUGCUGUGAAAACUCGGGGCUCAACCCCGAGCCUGCAGUGGAUACGGGCUAGCUAGAGUGCGGUAGGGGAGACUGGAAUUCCUGGUGUAGCGGUGAAAUGCGCAGAUAUCAGGAGGAACACCGGUGGCGAAGGCGGGUCUCUGGACCGAUACUGACGCUGAGGAGCGAAAGCGUGGGGAGCGAACAGG
rnacentral:rRNA from 1 species